GAGAUCUGACACUCAUUGAUACAAUCAUGUUGCUGGGUUUGAUCUCCAGAAUGAAAAAAAUAUAUCCUUUUGUACUACAGAUGCAUUUUUUAAAAUUUACAAUAUUUUCCUUACACUGUCAACUCCUCAAAAAAAAAGGUAAUUACUCAUAAAAGAUCUACAUAUAGCUAUAUGAUAUUAGGUCUUAAAAUUUCUUGGGGUGGUAGUGGUGAUGAUGAUGAUGAUGGCCAAAAAUAUUCUGAGACAGCUACAGAACAAGAGGAAAAUAAAUGGACUGGUAUUAACAUCAUUUACUGCUAGGAAUGCAUCAUGAGUAUGUCCAAAAGCAAUUUUAUGACAGAAAACAUUAUUUCUCGAAGUGGUAGUCACUCAGUACGAGCUUUCUCUGCCCAGGAUCUCCCCAGCCCUAUCUGUAUCCCUGACCGGCACUACCCACUCAUUCAUUCCACCUAUCUGGCCUGGAAAAGAUCUAUCUGCUUCUGAAGAUUUAUUUCAUGUGAGUAUUUUGUUUUUUUGGUUUUUUGUUUUUUGUUUUUUCCAAAAUGCUAG
rnacentral:lncRNA from 1 species